AGGGGAUAUCCCGGGCAUUGAGAGGUAAGGACGGAGGGCUCACCUGACAAUGGAAGGUGAGGACGCUUCCAAAGGCCAUUGGAUGUUAACCUUACCUUAAUAAGAGAAACUAUCAUUCUAUAGAGAGAUCGUAAGUAGAAUUCCGAGGAAAUUGGAUAACAACAAUGGUAAAAUGAUGCCAUUUAGCGAGCGAUCACUGCCUCUAGAGGGAAAGGCCCAUUUCCCCGUCUUCACGACCAUAAACAUCUAAGUAGCCAUAUGAAGGGAAAUAAAAUAUUUUUUGGGGGACCACCCUCUAAGCCCGAGUCUUCCUCACCUCAAUGACCGAUAGGGUACAAGUACCAUGAGGGAAAGGAAAGGAUGUGAACCCUAGGAAAGGGAGUGCAAUAGAAAACCUU
rnacentral:ncRNA from 1 species